rfam:Physcomitrella patens subsp. patens PHYPAscaffold_307 genomic scaffold, whole genome shotgun sequence.
GGUUCCUUAGUGUAGUGGUUAUCACGUUCGCUUCACACGCGUAAGGUCGCGGGUUCGAAACCCGCAGGGACUA